GAUGAAGAACGCAGCGAAAUGCGAUAAGCAGUGUGAAUUGCAGAAUUACCUGAAUCAUCGAGUCUUUGAACGCACAUUGCGCCCCCUGGUAUUCCGGGGGGCAUGCCUGUCCGAGCGUCAUUGCUGCCCUCAAGCACGGCUUGUGUGUUGGGCCUCCGUCCUCCUCCCGGGGGACGGGCCCGAAAGGCAGCGGCGGCACCGCGUCCGGUCCUCGAGCGUAUGGGGCUUCGUCACCCGCUCUUGUAGGCCCGGCCGGCGCUUGCCGACACAUCAAUCUUUUUUCCAGGUUGACCUCGGAUCAGGUAGGGAUACCCGCUGAACUUAAGCAUAUCAAUAAGCGGAGGA
rnacentral:misc_RNA from 1 species